GGGUGCGUAGGUGGGUUGGUAAGUCAGUGGUGAAAUCCCCGAGCUUAACUUGGGAACUGCCAUUGAUACUAUUAAUCUUGAAUACCGUGGAGGUUAGCGGAAUAUGUCAUGUAGCGGUGAAAUGCUUAGAUAUGACAUAGAACACCAAUUGCGAAGGCAGCUGGCUACACGAGUAUUGACACUGAGGCACGAAAGCGUGGGGAUCAAACAGGAUUAGAUACCCUGGUAGUCCACGCCCUAAACUAUGGAUACUCGACAUACGCGAUACACUGUGUGUGUCUGAGCGAAAGCAUUAAGUAUCCCACCUGGGAAGUACGACCGCAAGGUUGAAACUCAAAGGAAUUGGCGGGGGAGCACAAGCCGAAUUC
rnacentral:rRNA from 1 species